ACAUGUGACCUUCCUCUUGAUUAAUAUAUGAGGUAGAUUGAAAACGACGCACUUUCCGCUAAAAUAACCCCAAAACCACCAAGACCUGCUGUUUUGAGGGAAAUUCAACAAGAACCUGACGGGAGGCUACUUUCUUUUAUUACAAAUUGGGUUUGUUUUCCUUUUUUGUGGAAUAAUACGGAAUAUCUGCUCGAGUUGAGUGAUGACGUCCUUCCAAGAUGGGUGCCCUCACAACGUGUUCCCAGUUUCAGCGGUCCCCUGCUAUGAUCCGUGAAACCCAAACCUCUGAUGCGCGGCGCUGGCCAAAAAGGACCAAGACUCCCGCACCGACUGUUUUUCACACACUACGGGGACAGUGGAUAUGCAACACAAUUGUAGCAAUACAGUUUCCUCUUCGUGAUGAGGCAGUGAAGGGGCUUCCCUGAUGACGAUGUGAAAAAGACAAAGAUAGGGUGUCUUUCCAGUGGGCCGUGCCCGGAGGCCCAGCGGGGCCAAGCCAAGCCAAGCCAAGCCAAGCCAAGCCUGAAUCGAGGAGAACGUCCAUGUCACCGUCUUCUUUAUUUCCUGGAAAGAAUCAGCACGGCCUUCCCUCCCUGGACUUCACGCGUCCUCCCCGGCGUGGCUGAGAAUAACCAGCGUUGGUCUUUUAUCGGCGGUGUCAGCUCUUCAGACACGGCCACUGUGGACUCCCCUCCUCUCUUCUAUCUCCAUCGGUCUUUUUCCUUCCAACUCUAUCUGUAAAAAAAAAAAAAAAAAAAAAUUUAAAUGACGCCUCGAGGUCGGUAAAACCUCUCGCUAAAUUUUAUGGAAAAUCUCUUCUGGUGAGGUGCAAGUUACGGGGUGAAGGGUGACGUUCUUGACUGAUGGCUGACACCACGGUAGGAACACCUGCACCCUCUCAUGCGGUCCAAGACUGUAUUAACAGUCAUACGAUAAUAGUGACGUAGCGUUCAAAAAUGGUGGAAACGGUCUUUGUAUUGGCUUUAGGACAUCAUUUGCAGGAUAGUAGCAGCAUGGGAAAUUAGGAAAGAAGUGAGUUUUUGGACAAGAUGUGGCAUAAGACCAAUAUGGCUCCAAAAGAGUCGCUGACAAAAUUGUGAGUGCUAGGUGGUAUUUGAAGGAACCUUGAAACGGGUUUCCUCUGCCUUCAGUUGCAGUCUCUGAUGGAUUCAGCGUUGUAGCGAUGCGUCCAUGAGUAUCGCGCAAAAACGCCACAUUUUGGGGGCAGAAUUGUGACACAGUCACCCGACAAACGUCCUUCAUUUGCAUCCUUGGCAGAAUCCAACCACUGAAUUGAAGCAUAGUUACCGUUUACUCUCCGGGAUCCUCGUCAAACUACAUCCUGGCUUAUGAUUAGAUCUCUCCAUCACGUGACUGGCGGAAACCAGCACACUGCAGACGAGCUUUUCCGCUCCACGCAACCUUCUCCGGGAUGGAGCCAUGUUGUCGUCCCUUUCCCUCCUGCUAUCAUCCCAUUAUUCGUCUUCCGGCCCCUCCGUCUCGUGGUUGUUUAUGUAAUCACUGCCCGCUGGUCCGGCUUGUACGCAGUCCCGAUAAGAGCAAAGACUGCGUUAAUGCACGAGCACGGUGGGGGAGGAGCCCGUUAUCUCAUUAAUGAGGAGACGCCUUAUCAAAUUUAUGAGCGCUGGAGUCGGCGAGGCUCAUCAUUUUGCCGCUAUGAGACAAGCAGUGAAAGAAGUCAAGAUGGAGCAGAUGAAGGACCCGCGCCAUAAAAGACCUUAUUGAUGGAUUCUUUUACGAAGGCACACAGGCUGUGGACUCGGAGUGUUUUCUUAUGACAUUGAUAUGCUGCACUUCAAAUGACGCUUCCUCUGCGGUUUUUCCCUCUCUGUGAUGCUCCGUCCCGGUCUUCAGAUAGCACAGGAAGUAGAUUUCACUUGAAAGAACUUGGCUUGCUCAGAUCAGGAAGAAUGUUCAGUGCCCUGAAAGUUCAGUCCUGGACCGCAGGAAGUGACAAACUGCUGUGAAUGGCUCGUGCAUAUGUCUACUUCCUGGUUCAGACUCUUUGGUCCGCUGGUGAAAUCACUAUUUCUUGAGUUAUUGUAAAUAUGAUAGCCCAGGUAACUAAAACCGGGAUUUACCUUUCAAGUGAGAUUUGAAGGCGGCCACCUCGGCAUCGACUCUAAAACCUCUGACGUGAAAAUUGGCUUCCGGACAGUUAGAAGUCACAGACACAGCAGUCCCCUCAGAUAUUGGCAAAAUCACAACCCAUUUCUUUUUUUUUUUUUGCGUGAUGUAAAAUUAAUAACUGAUGAUAUUGCCGUGUAUUUGGGAUUAUCAUUUGGAGUAAAAUAAUGGUUUAAAUUAUUUUACACAAUUAUAAACAUUGCCUUGAAAUUCAAAU